rnacentral:rRNA from 1 species
CCUACGGGUGGCAGCAGUGGGGAAUAUUGGGCAAUGGAGGCAACUCUGACCCAGCAACGCCGCGUGAAUGAUGAAUGUCCUCUGAUUUUAAAGCUCUUUUCUAAGGGAAGAAGAAAGUGACGGUACCUUAGGAAUAAGCCUCGCCUAACUACGUGCCAGCAGCCGCGGCAAUACGUAGGAGGCAAGCGUUAUCCGGAAUGAAUGGGCGUAAAGGGUGCGUUGGUGGUUUGACAAGUUAGUAGCGAAACUCCGGGGCUCAACUUUGGCACGGCCACUAAAACUGGUGGACUUGAGUGCAGGAGGGGUAAGCGGAAUUCGUAGUGUAGCGGUGGAAUGCGUAGAUAUUAGGAGGAACACCAGUGGCGAAGGCGGAAUGCUAGACUGUAACUGACACUGAGGCACGAAAGCGUGGGGAGCAAACAGGAUUAGAUACCCUAGUAGUC